rnacentral:rRNA from 1 species
GGAAUAUUGGGCAAUGGAGGAAACUCUGACCCAGCAACGCCGCGUGAAUGAUGAAGGUCUUCGGAUUGUAAAGUUCUUUUCUAAGGGAAGAAGAAAGUGACGGUACCUUAGGAAUAAGCCUCGGCUAACUACGUGCCAGCAGCCGCGGUAAUACGGAGGAUGCGAGCGUUAUCCGGAUUUAUUGGGUUUAAAGGGUGCGUAGGCGGUUACUUAAGUCAGCGGUCAAAUGGCGGGGCUCAACCCCGUCCAGCCGUUGAAACUGGGUAGCUUGAGUCGGCGAGAAGUACGCGGAAUGCGCGGUGUAGCGGUGAAAUGCAUAGAUAUCACGCAGAACCCCGAUUGCGAAGGCAGCCUUCCGGCGCCCUACUGACGCUGAGGCACGAAAGUGCGGGGAUCGAACAG